CGAGGGCCUGCUUCUGCUCCACAGGCUUCAUUUGCAGAUUACAACAAAACAGUGCAGGAGGAUUAUAUUUGUUAAACAAAAUGAAAACACAUUUAAGGGGCAGAUAUUCUUUCCAAACACUAAUGGGAUUUUUACCUAGGUCUACCACAGGAGAUUUUCACCAGUGUCAGUUUAGAAGCUCAGUAAACCUCCCUGGAAUUUGGGCGAUAUAAUAAUGCUGUGUACUUUUUUACUGCCUUCCAGUUCAACUGCUUUACCACCAUCAGCAAAAACGUCUUCACAAGAUGUUUCAUAGGGAGUAUAAGUGCGUAACCUCAGCACCAGAACAUCCACAAAAUUGUCAACGUCAUAUAUUCAACCUCCACUUCCAGACUGCAUUGACCACAAGGUUUGUAAGAAAUGUAAUCAGCAACAGCCAGCUUCUCUACAAGCAAUUGUGCCACUGAGGUCCAUGGAAAUACAGCAGCUGCCCAGGAUGUUGUGUUAGGAAAUGGUGUAAUUCCUGCCCCUACCGGAAAGUGAUGAAGAAAUGGCUGUAUCUCAGAGAGAAUAAGUGAAGUUUUACAGAAAACAACCGGAGAAAAGUCAGAUUUGUGAGUAUUGCAUAUUGUGAAAUGUAUAUUGUGAAACUAAUGAAAAACUUGUGAAAUUGGCUUUUACCAGUAGAAGAAAAGCAGAAUCUGGCCCAUAGGGAGGAGCAGUGAGUAUGGAAUCAGAAUAGUACAAUAGUUUUAUUUACAUAAAGACUUAGUAAAACAAGCUGUGUUAUUUUAGCUGAGCCUUCCCGAUUUACUAUCCAAACACAAUAGUCAACGAUACAUAACUGGCAUCUGAUCAUUUCCACAGAAGUGGAAUUCUGUUGAGCAAUGCUCCAGUUAGGAGUGGUUUUCCUCUCCAAGUGUAUUGCCAGUGAAGCCUGCUACACAAUGCUGAGAGAGUGCACACAAGAGAGUAGUAGCCCCAAAUGUGCUUUUGGAAGACAAGGGAUAAUCCCAUGUUGUAAUAGUAAAAUCUCUGUGUUUAUGACUGUCAGUACUCUGCUCCAGAGACUUCUGAAAUCUUUGGUCUGAGUUAGAUUAAGACCAGGGAGCAGCCAAAUUUUAGGCAGCUUGGGGUUGCUCACAGACUUUGGAUUGUUGUAGUGUAGGAUGCUCACGCACAACCUUCCUUUUCUCUUCUACACUCAAAACACAGAACAGCACCAAGGAGACCAGUUCUGUCAGAGGCACUGCAGUUCUGCAGCGCUGCUGCCAAAGAGUACAGAUGAUCUUGCUUUGCUCAGAAGCAAGUGGGAACAAACAUGAUACCCUAAUACAAAAUAUUCCCCUUCAGACAAUAAUGUUUUUCCAUAUUCCCUACUUUGUUUUGCAUGUUUAAUUCUGUUUUGUCAUUUCAUUUUUUUCCCUUUUCUCUCAUAGUCCCAUAUUAAUGGCAUCCUUUAGAUACAUAGGAGUUCACUGUGAUUCUGAAUUUGUCACCUUAGUUUGUUUACAGCGUUAUGUAAAAACCUUCCAAUGCUAUGAAGAUGGCACAAGAAACAACUUUUUCUCUGUGGAAGGACAUGCUGUUCAUACUAGCACUAUCAGAGCUUCAUUCCUGGUUUGUUUUCUUUUUUUCUGACAUAACUGAUUACUAGACAUUGGCAGGCCCUCAUCUUUUAAGAGAUGUAGAAGCUGACAGCGGUAGGUAUAAUUCGGUUCAUGGCUGAAAUUCUGCUCUUUAUAGCACAGUACUUCAGUUGAAAGUAUUAUAAAACAAGGAAUGUCAGAACUAAUUAGUUCAUGACAAGGCUAUCUUUAGGAAGCAACUAUUAAUUCCAGGACAUGCUGAGAAAGUGCUGCUAGAUGAGAGACAGCACUUUCAUUCACCAUGGAACUAGUGCACGGGGUUAAGUUCUAGAUGACAGCCUGUAGUCUUCCCAAACUCUGUUUCUUGUCAAUUUUCUACUAGCUGAGACUAGAUAUAUUUCAGAAAGACACAAGACUGAUUUUUUUGACACCGCUAACAAUUAUAGAACAUUUUAUGUUUUUACCCUUUCUUUCCCACAUCCUUGCCUUUACAGAUGUUUUUAUCAACAUAAUUUGACCACUGUUUCAUUCAGUAUGGAAACAAGUGGGUGAGAGGCACACAUUUCUUAACUGAAUGAUAUGAACUUGCUUUUCCUCUGCUGGUUUUGGAUGUAAAGGAUGUAUGAAGUGACUAUUUGUGCAACUGAUAUCAAUAUUUUCUUAACUAGGUAGCUAGGAUGCAUGUACCUUUCUAGGUGAAUCAAAGCUACCUGACGGGUACAAUAUGGGUAAAUUCUAAGUGAAAAUAUUCUGCAUCUUUAGCAGGAAGGAAUAUGUACUUGUAUCUUGAAAUUCUAGUGUAGAUAUUGUGAACUAGGGGAGUGAUCACAGAAUCCCAUGGGACAUCUUUUUGUUGUAAUAAUUUCUUUUUUUAUCUCUUCUGCUGCUUAUCAAAGGGCUGCCAAAAAAUAGGAGGUUCUCAUUUUUAUUUCUCAGUGAAAUUAAGAAAAAUAAGUAGCGUUGUGUAUGUCUUCCUGAACGCUUCCUGAAACACUCCAGCCGGCAUGAUAAUUUGGGAGAUUAAGUUGUUCAGUUGCUAGAUUGUUUGUAAACAGUAUUCUUUGCAUAGAUUGUGUUAUUGUCCCCCAAAUGAAACAGCUGUGGAUGUAUUUACAGUCUAAGAAAGCUGGAGCAUUAAUAGAAGCUUGCAGUUUUAGUAAUUGUUCUUUAGCUGACGUAGAGGCAAAGCCCAUGGGAAACGUGCUUAUUCUCUCUUUUUCGUCUCUAACCCCACCCACAUGUUGCCAUUUCACUUGAAUGGAUCAGUGUGCUCAGCAUUUAAGGCUUUUAGUAAAUCAGGCCUGUGAGUGAAUGUUUAGUCCCAAACAGUUUAAAGGUAGGUUGUUGAAUACUUCCUAAAAUACAGCUGUAUUUAUGGGAAUAUUAAAAUACAGAAGUUUUCUAAGGUGCAGAAUGGAAUGCAAAAACAAGGAUCACAAAAAAUCAAGUGAUGAGUUUUCAAUUAAAAGAAUGGAACUUUACUGUUUGAUUUCAAGGUCCUGAGAUUGUUUCCUAGGCCAUUCCUUUCUAUACUUCCUUAUACAAAUACACUGAACUUGAUCCCGAAGCUUUAGUGACUAAGAGAAAAUGUUUAUGGAUUUUUGUAUUUAGGUAAUUCCUUUUUAUAACAUCAAGCUCCUGUAUGUCUUGAGAAUACUUUAGUCCUGUCUUUGUUUUAGAAGGCAACCUCUAAUUAAUGGCAGUUAUGAUAGAGUGGAACCAAAAGUUUAUGGCACUUCAAUAAUUUUUUCUUCUAGGUGGACUAGAGAGUGUGUUUAUUUACUAUUUUAUCAGCUUUGCUGUGUUAUAGGAAAGGAAAGAUGCUAGAUGAAAAGAAGUGAUGAAAACAGUUUGAGAGGUUGAAUAAACUUCACUGUUAUUGUAUGAAUGUAGCUGCUAUCCCAAUGCCUUAAUUGGACUGCCCUUAAUUGGACACUCUGGGAUGUGGUAAGCAAAGAGCAAACCACACUGAAAGAAGACACCUGUCAGACAAAGCAGAGCUGUGUAUUUUUAAAUACCUUUAUGUAAGACUAUUCCCAGAUAGAGAUUUGCCCUAAAAUAACACUAAAAUAAAUAAAUAAAUAAAAAUUCCCAAAGGUGAGGAACUUGAGAGAAGACCAGGAAGACUGACUAAGGUGUGUUUCCUUACCCUUCAAUUUGUAAGUUGUUUUUAUAGGGAACAUGUCAUUAUUUCUAGUAUCCUUAUGAGAUGAAAUAUGCAAUCUUAAUACCUGUGUGCUUUAAUUUCCUGUUCUUUCAGUUUUCCCAGAGGGAUUUACUAGGUUAAUAAAAUGAUCUUUGGAGGCUUUUCCAAAGCCCCAUGAGGGCAUUUGAUUUCAUUUGCUUCUGAAUCACCUGUGGUAUGGUGGCAUCCCAAGAGUGCCUGAAAUUGUGCAAUGUACAAAUAUGCACCUUGUGUUGAGUUUUGAAUUGUCAGUGCAACUAAGGAGACAGUAAGAAAACAGAAGUACCUCUCUUUGGGGAAAAAUUUUAGGAAAAUAACCAUUUAUUUGGCUUACGAUGCAGGAAAUCGCCCAAACAACAACACUAUAAAAAACAAGCACUGAAACCAAAAGCCUUAACUCUGACCCCCAAACAUGUCAAGUUCAAACACCUCAGAAAUCAGUGCAUAACAUCUUCCAAAACAUAGACAAUCCCUUAGGAAAAGGUUUCUCAUAAUCAGGAAUUUCCUUACAGGAGAUUGCUCAACAACUCUUAAGCAAUAUUUCCAUUAUGUGCGAAGCAAAAUCAAAAUCUGGUCAUGUUACAGCAUGCAUUUACUUGCUGCCUGUAACUACACGUCUGUUCUUAGACUGUUUCACUCUCAUCUCUUUUAUAAGGUGAAUGGGAAUUAGGGACCUAAUCCUGGAAACUGAUCUUUCCAGUAGUGAAGUGGCACUCUUACUUUAAUAACUUAGCUUGUACAUUUCAGCAGGACUAGCACCCAAUAUUCAACCAGUGCAGAAGUACUUGAAAUAGUUGACGGCUUUCCUG
rnacentral:lncRNA from 1 species